rnacentral:rRNA from 1 species
AUCCUACGGGAGGCAGCAGUGAGAAAUAUUGGUCAAUGGGCGCGAGCCUGAACCAGCCAAGUCGCGUGAGGGAUGACGGUCCUACGGAUUGUAAACCUCUUCUGCCGGGGAGCAAGCGUGCGUUCGUGAACGCGCGUCGAGAGUACCCGGAGAAAAAGCAUCGGCUAACUCCGUGCCAGCAGCCGCGGUAAUACGGAGGAUGCGAGCGUUAUCCGGAUUUAUUGGGUUUAAAGGGUGCGUAGGCGGUUUUUUAAGUUAGUGGUUAAACGUCGGGGCUUCACCUUGAUUUGCCAUUAAUACUGUAA